rnacentral:rRNA from 1 species
CAAGUCGAGCGGCAGCGCGGGGGCAACCCUGGCGGCGAGCGGCGAACGGGUGAGUAAUACAUCGGAACGUACCCUGGAGUGGGGGAUAACUCAGCGAAAGCUGGGCUAAUACCGCAUAUGCUCUUUGGAGGAAAGUGGGGGACCUGAAAGGGCCUCAUGCUUUAGGAGCGGCCGAUGUCCGAUUAGCUAGUUGGUGGGGUAAAGGCUUACCAAGGCGACGAUCGGUAGCUGGUCUGAGAGGAUGAUCAGCCACACUGGGACUGAGACACGGCCCANACUCCUACGGGAGGCAGCAGUGGGGAAUUUUGGACAAUGGGGGCAACCCUGAUCCAGCCAUGCCGCGUGCGGGAAGAAGGCCUUCGGGUUGUAAACCGCUUUUAUCUGGGAAGAAAAGGCGUCGACGAAUAAUCGGCGUUCUUGACGGUACUGGAGGAAUAAGCACCGGCUAACUACGUGCCAGCAGCCGCGGUAAUACGUAGGGUGCGAGCGUUAAUCGGAAUUACUGGGCGUAAAGCGUGCGCAGGCGGUUCGCUGUGUCUGCUGUGAAAGCCCCGGGCUCAACCUGGGAAUGGCAGUGGAAACUGGCGAGCUGGAGUGUGGCAGAGGGGGGUGGAAUUCCACGUGUAGCAGUGAAAUGCGUAGAGAUGUGGAGGAACACCGAUGGCGAAGGCAGCCCCCUGGGCUGACACUGACGCUCAGGCACGAAAGCGUGGGGAGCAAACAGGAUUAGAUACCCUGGUAGUCCACGCCCUAGACGAUGGCAACUGGGUGUUGGGGGAGCGAUUCCUCACUACCGUAGCUAACGCGUGAAGUUGCCCCCCUGGGGAGUACGGCCCCCAGGUUAAACU